ACCGUACCAAGGCGACGAUCUGUAGCUGGUCUGAGAGGAUGGCCAGCCACACUGGAACUGAGACACGGCCCAGACUCCUACGGGAGGCAGCAGUGGGGAAUUUUGGACAAUGGGCGCAAGCCUGAUCCAGCCAUGCCGCGUGAGUGAAGAAGGCCUUCGGGGUUGUAAAGCUCUUUCGGCCGGGAAGAAAUCGUGUUCUCUAACAUAGGACAUGGAUGACGGUACCGGACUAAGAAGCACCGGCUAACUACGUGCCAGCAGCCGCGGUAAUACGUAGGGUGCGAGCGUUAAUCGGAAUUACUGGGCGUAAAGCGUGCGCAGGCGGUUUUGUAAGACAGAUGUGAAAUCCCCGGGCUUAACCUGGGAACUGCGUUUGUGACUGCAAGGCUAGAGUACGGCAGAGGGGGGUGGAAUUCCUGGUGUAGCAGUGAAAUGCGUAGAUAUCAGGAGGAACACCGAUGGCGAAGGCAGCCCCCCUGGGCCUGUACUGACGCUCAUGCACGAAAGCGUGGGGAGC
rnacentral:rRNA from 1 species